UAUUGGGCAAUGGGCGCAAGCCUGACCCAGCAACGCCGCAUGAAGGAAGAAGGCCCUCGGGUUGUACACUUCUUUUAUCAGGGACGAAGAAGUGACGGUACCUGAUGAAUAAGCCACGGCUAACUACGUGCCAGCAGCCGCGGUAAUACGUAGGUGGCAAGCGUUAUCCGGAUUUACUGGGUGUAAAGGGCGUGUAGGCGGGGAAGCAAGUCAGAUGUGAAACUCCAGGGCUCAACCCUGGAACUGCAUUUGAAACUGUUUUUCUUGAGUGAUGAAGAGGCAGGCGGAAUUCCGUGUGUAGCGGUGAAAUGCGUAGAUAUACGGAGGAACACCAGUGGCGAAGGCGGCCUGCUGGACAUUAACUGACGCUGAGGCGCGAAAGCGUGGGGAGCAAACAGG
rnacentral:rRNA from 1 species